GUGUCAGCUUUGAAGGACCCAUGCACUUGACUCACAGAAGUGGAUUAUUUUUCUAGAAAUCUCCAUUUUUGUUCAUAUGAAGAAUAAAAGUAAUAUACAUUAUGGACAGCAUAAAGAGAGACUGGUGUACCAUGGGAUAUCUGGAGGACUAGGGAUGCCAGCAAACUAAUGUCAUACCAAAUACCAACCAAAACCACCAGCCUCUUUCCCUCCCAGGUCUACACAGCUGUUUGGACACCAGGGGCCACUUUUCUGCACCCAGAUGAAAAAGAGAAAGACUCAAAGCAAACUUGCAGACAGUAAAUCAGAUCUCAUUCAGAGAAAUGGAGCGCCAACGUCAAGGGAAAAAUCCCUUGAUGGAAAGGAGAGUAAAAGCCGAGGACAGGAGCAUCCUCAACUUGAACUAUCCACUACCCUCGCCUGACUAAAAGAUGCUACCAACAUUUGCAAAGGACAGGGACAAUGUUUGGAAGAGCAUCAACCACUCAAUGACUAGACGUCAGAUGGCAGACCAGGACCAUAACUGGUUAAGCAAGAGGAGUACUACAACUAUGGAAUAAAGAAAGUCUAUGGGAAGAAAAAAAAGUUUGGAUUAAAACAUGGCUGUGAUAUUAAAAUGCACCCUUGGGUUUCCUCAAACUUGACAAAAGCAUGACUCUUGGUUAACCACUGCUGAAUUAUUUUGGCUGUUUGACCACAAAGAGUUAGAGUGAGGGAGAACAAGAAAGAAAACAAGCUCCUCACCCUGAACGUAUUACAUUGUUGUAGAUGGUGUUUAAAAGCUAUUAAAUAAGACAGGGUCAAAUAAAGGAGACACUGUGUUCUGUUAUAUAUACAAAUUAUAGAUUCCAGUUUAACAAUUAGAAGGAGGCAGUUAUGUCCAGUAAAAGUGACUAACAAUAAAAUAAACAUACUGUACUGUGUGUAGAUAAGAAUAGGCCUACAAGUCAUGUGUUAAGGUGAGGUCUCAAAGCCAAGAAAACACAGAGAAUAGUGAAUAGUGAGUCAAGUCAGUGAAUGUACUGCAGGAUCAAUUUGAUUGAGGUGACUUUUCCCACAAUAUAUCAUUAUUUUGUGGAAAAACAAUAUAUACAAUUUGUAAUAUACUGAAGUAGGAAACGAGUGAAAGUAGUGUAGUGUCAUUACACAAAGCUGAUCUAAGUCUUGUCAAAAAAGUUUUGUACAUAAGGAUAAUUUUAGCUAUAAAACA